UACGGAGGGAGCUAGCGUUGUUCGGAAUUACUGGGCGUAAAGCGCACGUAGGCGGCUUUGUAAGUUAGAGGUGAAAGCCUGGGGCUCAACUCCAGAAUUGCCUUUAAGACUGCAUCGCUUGAAUCAUGGAGAGGCGGGUGGAAUUCCGAGUGUAGAGGUGAAAUUCGUAGAUAUUCGGAAGAACACCAGUGGCGAAGGCGGCCCGCUGGACAUGUAU
rnacentral:rRNA from 1 species